UUUAAUGAAGGAUAUUUAAAACAUUAAUAUUAGUCCUUACAUUGUUCCCGAAACAGUUUCCAACAACUGGUAUUCUCAAUAAUGAAGACUGUUUUGUUUUUUAAGGAGAAGAUAAGUUGGAUAUAUCCUACUAGACAAUGUGUUUAAAUAAUAGACCUUAGAAAUGUCUUUAACAGAAAGCAGGGCAUUUUGUUGUUAUAAAAACAAAGACCUUAUAAAUAACUUACUGCUCUAGAAAAACAUACUGGACAAAAUUUCCUUGAUUCUUUUAAAAUCUUAUAAACAGUAAUUAUCAUCAUAUACUGUCUUAUUUCAGCUAAAAAAAAAAAAAAAUCCAAAUGUAAUCAAUAGAAAACCAUGGUACUGUAUUCCAGACUGUAGUUAAGUCCAUAAGAUUCAUUUUUCAGACAGUAACAAAAUGAACAGAUGAUCUCUUUACAUGGCUGCAGAGUCACUGAGUUUUCCAUGUUGUUUAGUCUCGCUUGAGAGGGAAACGCCCUGCUGUCAGAAAAGCCCCUCUUCUCCUAGGCUCAUCAGCCCUGUAGCGAGCGGCAGAUUUGAAGCACUGCGGGUGUUUGACAACAGCCUUUGCCACCUUCUGCUGAUUUGAUCUUUCUGAAGCACAUCAUGGUUCUUACUAGUCAUGAUUCUGGCAUCUAAUAUAUGCUCCUCUCCUUUUUUAAAGCCAGCAUGGUGUAGUAAACCUUAGCAGUAUAUCUUGCUUGAUUGUCUCAGAGCGGUUCAGAUCUAUGGGUAGUGUGGAGAAGUGUCUGAAGGGUAAUAGGACUGUAAUUUGUUGCCUUCCUGAAGAGAGUGGCCUUGAGGAUCAGACGUAAUUGACUAUUGUUAACCCUGGUCUUUGUUUUGAAGGAAAUUUCUUUUAUAUUUCAUGUUAUUUAAUCUCUUCUCAGGAAGGAAUAUCUUGUAAGAAUUUUAGAAUUAUCUAACUCUAAAUAGGAAAGGUAGAAAUGAUUGUCAAGUUAUUGCUAAUCACUGGUAGGAAUUUCUAUCAAUCACCUAGUUAAGACAAUUUUAUUUUCUUGGGCUCCAAAAUCACUGCAGUUAUUAUCCACAGGAAAUGUUAGCUUCGUUUUAAAGAUGAUGAAACUUCGACAGAGAGCAGUUCAGUGUUAUACAUCUAGUAGGUGUUAGGACCAGAAUGAGAACCCAGGUCUUUAUGGCACUGGUCAGUGAUAGAUGUGUUCACAGUAAACUCGUAGUAACUUAUCUGCAUGCCCCAGUGAGGCCCACCAGCUGUCUCUGUACUCUUCUGCUUGGACUGCAUGGUGACUCAGUUCCCUCAUUUAAUUCUGCUUUUCAUCUAAAUCUGCCCAUUACUUCUACCAGUUUAUUUGUUCUAGCUGUGAGCAUGAGUUAGUUUUUAGCUACUUAAUUUUACACAUUCUGUUAUUCCUACCGAUGAAAGAAAAGAACUGGAAAAGCUGACCAGGUUGAGAAAUUUGAAUGGCGUUGCUGGAGUGAUUCCUGUAAAACAUGGCCUCUUAGAUCUCGCUAAUGACCUAGCGACUGGGCAGAAUAAGAUGUCUCUGUGUUCUCAGCAGGGCUUUCUCUUUGUUCUGUAAUAAUUCAGAUUGUUCCCCACUUUCGUGUUGUCGUUCAGUCACCAAGUCGUGUCUUACUCUCUGUGACCUCAAGGAUUGUAGCCCACCAGGCUCCUCUGUCCAUGGGAUUUUUCAGGCAAGAAUACUGGAGUGGGUUUCUCAAAGAAUAAUUUUCUCUUGGUUAGACCUAGAUCUUGAUAUUGUAUCACGGAUAAAGUUUUAGUGCAGGGUCACUGCCCAAUGCCCAGGUGUAAGGCUGUGAGGUAGGGUUUUCUUCUUAUAAUUGUUACUCCUAUUAUGUGUAUAGGGCUUCCCUCGUGGCUCAGUUGGUAAAGAAUCCUCCUGCAGUGUAGGAGACCUGGUUUGAUCCCUGGGUCAGGAAGAUCCCCUGGAGGAGGAAAUGGCAACCGGCUCCAGGAUGCUUACCUGGAAAAUCCCAUGGACAGAGAAGCUUGGCAGGCUGCAAUCUAUGAGGUCACAGAAGAGUCGAACAUGACUUAGUGACUAAACCACCACUACCUAUUAUGUAUACAGGGUAAUGUUCUUACAACAUGCCAAAGUGGAAAUGAAGUGAGUCUUGAAUUAUGUUUUUAUUGUAGUUAUAAUCCCAAAGUAAAAUUUUUUAUAGUUUAGAAAGCCCAUUUUCCUUGGCUAAUAGAUGUCAAUAUCCAGAGAGUUUGAUCCCUUGAAAACAACUUUCAUCUCAUUGUAUGUCUCCAUCAGAGCUCAUGGGCAACACAUCACAGGUGUGAGGUCCUUGAGCAGUAAUAUUUUGAAAGAAAUCUUUUCUGAGCAGUGUCAACCGUGGGCUUAAAAUAUUCAGUAAACAAUGUUGUAAACAGAUGUGCUACAUCCAGGCUUUGUGGCUCCAUUUAUAGAGCAGAGUAGACUGAGUAUUAUUCUUAAUGGCUUUAGGAUUUUCAGAAUGGUAAAUGAGCACUGGCUUCAACUUCAAGUCUCCAGCUGCAUUAGCCCCUAACAAGAGAGUCACUCUGUCCUUUGAAGCCAGACGUUGACUUCUCCUCUCUUGCCGUGAAAGUCCGAGAGGACAUCAUCUUCCAGUAUAAAGCUGUUUCGUCAGCAUUGAAAAUCUGUUGGUUAGUGUAGCCACCUUACCUAUUGAUCUUAGCAAGAUCUGGAUGUCUUGCUGUAGGUUCUACAUCAGCAGUUGCUGCUUCACCUUGCACAUUUAUGUUAGGGAGAUGGAUUCUUUCUUUAAACCUCGCUUACCAACCUCUGCUAGCUUCAGGCUUUUCUCCUGCAGCUUCCUCACCUCUCUCAGCCUUCCUGGAAUGGAGGAGAGUUAUUAAGGCUUUGCUCUAAAUUAGGCUUUGGCUGAAGGAACUGUUGUGGCUGGUUUGAUCUUCUGUCCAGCAAUCUCCGUAUCAGCAAUAGGGUCUCACUUUUUAAAUCAAUGGUGUCUUCACUGGGGCAGCACUUUUAAGUUCCUUCAAGAACUUUUCCUUUGCUUUCGCAACCUGUCUAACUGUUUGGUGCAAGAGGCCUAGCUUUUGGCCUCUCUUGGCUUUUGACAUAUCUUCCUCACUAAGCUUAAUCCUUUUAGCUUUUGAUUUAAAAUGAGAGACUUGUGACUCUUCUGUCAGUUAAACACUUAGAGGCCAUUAAGGGUUGUUAUUUAUCCUAAUUUGAAUAUCAUUGUGUCUCAGGGAAUAGCGAGGCGGGAGGGAGGGAGGAAGGCAGGAGCAGCCUGGCGGUGGAGCGGCCAGAACACACAGCAUUUACUAAGUUUGCUGCCUUACGUGGUUGUGGCACCUAAAACAAGGACCAGAGUAACAUCAGCGGUCACUGACCACUGAUCACAUUAACGAGUACAAUAAUAAUAAUGGAAAGAUUUAAAGUAUCACAGGAAUUACCAAAAUGUGAAAGAGACACAGUGAACAAAUGUUGGAAAAUGGCCCCAACAGACUUGCCCAAAGCAGGGUUGCCACAGACCUUCGACUUGUAAAAACCACAGUACCUGCAAAGCACUUAGCAAAGUGCAGUAAAACGAGGUGCACCUGUAUUAAUUCUAAUUAGGAAUUUAUCUAUUGUAUGGGUUUUUUGUGUGUUUGUAAACAAAAACAUUAUUAUUUUCAUUUUCGAGUAUUUUUGUCUCAAAGAAACUCAGCCUUGAUUAAUGCCUUACACUGGGUAGGAAUAGCUAAUUGUAACUGCUUUUGGUUUUGCAGAUAAUUUGGGCAAAAUUGUAGUUUAUUUUAAAUAUGAACAGAACCUAAAGCUCUUAUGUGUCCUAGAUAUUUCAGAAGAAGCUUGUUGUAGAGUGAUAACAUUUGAUUCCGUAGAGGCAUAUCCUGUUCCGUGCUGGUCUUUGCCAUUUUACACGUAAUGCAGUGGUCCUUACUAAACAGCGAAUGGUCAAUAAUGCUAGGCAUGUGUCACAGUUGUGCAUGUUGGAGCCUUGCACAAGUGCUUGUGUGUGCCUGUAUUACCUGAUGUCCGUUUCAUUUGGAAUAUCUGCUUUUCACUUCAACAGGCACAAAGUAACGUUUUCUUCAUUGGAACCUUUCUUUGUUCUCAAGAUGAAGAGACAGUUGCUCUGUUCCUGUGUGUUGUGCCUCAGCAGCGCCCCUCAUUCAGAAUGGAGGCCUUACGAUCGUCUAGGCUUUUUAUGUUUGCAGUGUGCUAAGAUGAUUUAUCUUUAUGAUACAGAUUCUCUAUAGACAUUAAAGAGAAAGAGGUAAUCUUUAUGUAAGGUCACAAACAAGUGAGGAUAAGGAACAGUGGUAAAACUGGAGCUGCCAUUCUUCAGAUAAGUCAAUGAAAGGCUUUAUUUAAAUGUUUAGAAAUGGAAUUCUAAAUGUCUCUUAAGUCAGAAUAAAAAAAAAAAAAAGUCCUAGAGGAAAUACGGACUUUUCAUUCUCUGGGUAAA